CCUAUUUGAGUUGGAAUAAACAAAUUACAUGGGAUGUUGUCUUUGCUAAUUGAGCAAAAUCGAAGAAAUAUUAAGGAAACCUCAAUUACAAUUCCAACACUUGAUCCAUAUCCCAUAUAUGUAGGAAACCAUUUUUAGAUGCUGAUGUCACUACCCAUCUUCCAGUGACAUCACAAGUUAUGGAUGUCACAAUGUUUGACUACAAGGAGAAAAUUUUUAUAUUCGAUUUGGUUCCAAUGAUAUGUUCAUAAGUUCAUAAUUUGGAUUUUGUUAACACAAUAAGAAUGCCAUUUUUUGGUUUGUAUGUCUUCCAUAAUUGAAUUAAAAAGUUUAAAAAACAAAA